GACAUUACCUCAUUGCCGACGGUGAUGAGGAUGAUUGUGCUUGCUGGAUAAAAUGGCACCACGUUGGUGUUGACCCAGUUCUUGGCGAAGUUAGGAUCGGAGGCUAGUGAAGGAAUAUCGCCAUUUGAGGCACCAAUGGUUAUUCCGAUUCCGGCAUUGGCUAAGGCUUUGAUUAUAGCUGGGUCGGAGCCGUAUAAUCUGACCUUUUGUAUUGCGGUUGAUUGGAGGAGCUUUGCCGUGGCUGAUGGCGGUGGGAGGUUGUCUGCAACUUGGCCAUAGUUCACGCCUAUGAAUGAUUGCGAGUCUGUACCAAAGGUACAAUUUUGGAUUAUUAGUUUAUAAUGAUUUUUCCUUUAAAAAAAAAAAAAUGACACUUUUUAACUGGUCAUUUCUAGUUUCCUGGCGACCAAACAGGCAGCACUUAAAGCCCAGGCUAACCGUUACGUUUUAAAAAUUCGUUUCUUUGUUUUUUUUUCCGUCAGAUCAUAUGGUACCCCUUAUAGCAAUGUAAAAUUGUCUUUCGAUUCUUUAACAAGACUAACUAAUUUAUCAACUACUAGUGAAUCUUCUCGAAGACAUAACAAAAGUUCUUAACUAGAAAGGUAAGAAGAAAACAAACACAAAAAUAUAAAUUGAAAGGAGAAAUCCAAUAAAUUGUUUUAUAUGUAUAUAUGUACAUAUAAAUUAAAUUUAACAGAAAAAGCAGAGACUUACUUGCUGUGCUUACAGCCUGUAAGAGAGAAAGAAGCAGAAAAGCAACAGAAUAAGAAAGCACCGCCAUGAUUGAGGAGCUAUCUCUGUUUUGAAUAUUUUUAGUGUUCUCUGAACUUUGAAGGUGAAAUCAAAUUGGAUGGACAAUAAAUAUAGAAGAUGCUAAAGGUCAUGGGGAGGGGGCAAAACCGUAAAGGAAACUUUCAGUGGGGGCAAUUACUUUUGCAAAAGGCACAGUAAAUUCCAUCGUACAUCCAUCCAUCCAUAUUCCAGACUUAGGAACUGGAACUUGUAGAUUCUUACAGUUACAGAGCCACCAAUCAUACUAAUUUUACUAUAGGGAAAAAGAAAACCAAAAGUUUCCCCUUCUAGAAGAACAUUGUUUGGUACAAUAAGUAAGAGAUUAGGGUUUAAUUAAUUAAGUUUAGAUUAUUAGAGAAAGGCUUAAUCCGACUUCAGUAUCUUAUAGCCUCAGUGGAAGGAAGUACUUUCUUCUCUACUAAGAAAUGGCAUUCCAUUUCUAGAACUUAACAUCAAUUACAAUACACAAAAGAGAUUUCAAGAAAGUAAAGCAUAUUCAAUUCAGUGAAAUGGUUGUAAAGAAGAGCUUCUCGCGUAAUUGUAGCAUAUUGAUGCUUGAGGGAAAGAGCACAAAGUUUAACUUACUUUAGGAAUUUGGGUAUGAUAGGUGCACAAGCAAUCUUUGGAUGACAAGCGGAAAGUAUUGAGCUUUUGAAAUUUGAACUAUCAAAUGUAAGAUUUAUCAUCUUGUUUCCUUCUCAUUGAACAACUCGUGGGAGCAAACUUUUCCUUUUUUAUUUUUUGGUAGGGAAAAGGAAAAAGCAAUUGGAAGGAAAAACCUUUUUUCUCUCUUUGUUUUUUUCUUUUUUAGGGGACUUUAGGCUUAAUAAUCAAAAAAACGUAUUAACUAAUUAAGCCACGAUGAUGAUAGAACAAUAAAAGUUUUAGUAACAUCGUUUAAUCAAGAAUAUUAAUUAUAUUUUAGAUUAUUUAAGGAAUAUCAUUAAUCUCAGUAUAAUAAGACCGAUCACUUAAGCAAUUAAAUUACUAAAAGAACGUAUAGUAUUAUUUAUGUUUCUAAUUUUUUAUUCAUACUUUUCUACACCAAAAUUUUAUUUCUUGAAAAUUAAGCCAAGAAGGGAUUUUAAGCCAAAACUUUAUUUAUUGAAUAGCAAUCACUAAUGUCAUUCUCUACAUUCAUAGAGGACGUAAGAAGAUGAAUUGGACUGCUGUUGAUUGUAUAAUCUGUUUAUUUUAUUUUUUAUUGUAAUAAAAUAAAUAAACGGAUCCUAUGGCUGGAGGCCCUCUAUUUAAGCUAAAUAUGCCUUUGCUCAUUGGACUUUAAGUCCAUCUAGGCCCAAGAAGGCUUCCACCUACUCUGCUGGGCCAGCUGGCAAUCAAAGCGAGAGGGAAGGAAAUAUAAAUUUCCAAGUUUUAACUUUGCAACUGCUUCAUUUUCCAUAAAUUUGAGCUUAAAUGCAAGGUCUUGGCUUGUUCAACUCAGUGAAAGGUUCGAUUAUAGUCUGAAACAAUAUAAAGCAUUAUGUUUAGGUACAGGUCUGCAGUAGCUUCAUUGUCAUGCCCAUAUACAAUUGACUUCUGGGUCCCUGUUGGAAACAUUAGUCUCUAGCAUUUUGAGUAGAUAGUCUUCUACAACACAUUCUGCUAAUCUGCUUUAUCAUUUUUACUGUUGAAUUUUAACUUCUCAAAAUCUUUAUGCAAGUGCUUAAUCAAGUCAUCCAAGCCAAGAAUCUUGCCUUCAGUGAAGUGAUGGAAAUUCUCAUGUAAGAAUGGGUACUGAGCUCUUGUCUUUUCCCUUUCAUUUUCAUCAAUUCAUUGUGAUGGGCAUAACCUCCGCCUUGGAGAAUAUUUAAGAGAAAUGUUCAGUUUGAACAAUGCCUCCGCCGUGUUAAGAAAUAGUUAAGACAUUUUAUCAGAUCAACUGCGCAUUUAUUUAAUGUGAAAUAGAUUUCAUUAUUUACUUCUUCCAGUAUUUUCUUUCCUCCUCUUUCCAAACAAGCCUAAAAGCCCUUUCCUUUUCCUGAAGGAAUUAUCAGUACAAGUUGGUCUCAGCUCAAAUAAGCUGUCACUUCCAUAUGGGAAAGUCAGACGUGUUAAAUGAAGCCGAGUAUGUUAGUGAGGAAUAAUUACCAACUCUGUUCUUUUUUAUGACUCGGCAAUUAUAUAGACAAGAAAAGCAGUAGUCUGAAAAGGGAAAAAUUAAAUGUGCUGUUCUACUUACGAUUAAGGGAUCCGAUAUGGGUUCUGUGUUUGUCGAUGACAAAAUUAGUUUCUUGGCCUUGUUGAACAUAUGUCGCUGUUGAUAACUGCACCACCCAAAUUAGCCGACCACUAUAGAGGUAAGAAUUUUUACAGACAGUAUUGUCUUGCAGUUUGUCCAAGUUUAUAAGGCAGUGUUUACUUUCUGUUCCAUAACAGGUUUUAGGUUGCAAUAAGCUUACAUUUUCAUCUGGAGAUAGGAUUUCUGGUCCUAUUAGGCUUUGAAAAUCACUAUCCACAGAAGGACCGCACAAGUUGGGAAAUUCAUAGCAUAAGCAGCAUGUGAUGCUACUAUAUGUGGCUCAAAGCAAGUCCCGCCUGGUUUUUUUGGACUACAAUCCUUCCCAUUUUCACAAGCAUAAUCCAGAUUUGCCUGCGAUUUGGCAUCUGAGACAGCAGCCUUGGGCGUACACCAUGUUGCUUGGUUUGGAGUUGGUGAUGGACUCACCGAAGGAGUUUUUGGCGUAGAAGGCGCCUUCAAGCAUAACAAUUUGUUAAUAAAGAUUCGAACUUUUUCUUUUGAAACUUCACUAGCAAUAAGUCCUUACCUGAUUACUCUUGGAGAGGCCAAUAUCAUAAAUCAUGGUAAGAUCAGGCUUGAAAAGUCCAAAUGCUCGCUCUGAACCAGGUCCAGGUUUCAAGUCUUCAUCAUAUAAAGCAAACAGAUAUGUAUCUACUGAUUUCCCAGGCAUCAAUGGAGUACCCACCAUUGAUCUAAGGUGUGCAAUUAAAUUACCAUUAUAAGCCUUAGCAUUCUCAAUACUUGGUCCUACUUCAUUGUCAUCUCCCUUAUAAGGCCAUCCAGUCUCUGCCACCACAAUCUCAACAUUCUUAAAUCCCAUGGAGCUCAAAGCAGAAUGAACAGCGUCUACUUGAGCAUCAAACAUGUUCAUGUAAUUAAUGUUUGUAUUUGCAUCAAAACGUCCUGCAUUCGGUUGGAAAAGACAAAAAGCCAAAGUCUCCGGCGUUGGAUCACUCCUGUAAGCAAAAUACGGGUACGGAUUGAUUGCGAAAGGCGAAUUCGUGGCAUUGGUAAAUGCUAAUAAUCCUUUCAUCAAAUCUCCAUAACUAGGAUCGAAGCUUCCAAUAGAUGGUGGCUCUGAUUGCUUCAGCACUGCCAUUGAGUGAACCGUAGACACCUUAAUCUUGCCUCCAAGGGACUCGGCGUCGAGCGCAUUUUGGACAUUUUGCAUUGCUGGUAAGAGCUUUGUCAUGAGAUUUUGGUCGUUGGAGGACAUUACCUCAUUGCCGACGGUGAUGAGGAUGAUUUUGCUAGCUGGAUAAAAUGGGACCACGUUGGUAUUGACCCAGUUCGUGGCAAAGUUAGGAUCGGAGGCUAGCGAGGGAAUAUCGCCAUUUGAGGCACCAAUGGUUAUUCCGAUUCCGGUAUUGGCUAAGGCUUUGAUUAUAGCUGGGUCGGAGCCGUAUAACCUGACCUUUUGUAUUGCGGUUGAUUCGAGGAGCUUUGCCGUGGCCGAUGGCGGUGGGAGGUUGUCUGCAACUUGGCCAUAGUUCACGCCUAUGAAUGAUUGCGA
rnacentral:lncRNA from 1 species